CUCUCUCUCUCCCUGCAAAAUCAGCACUCCGGCGAUUUCUCCGGUCAUUUCCGGCUACCUCUCCGUCUAAUCGACAUGGGAGCACAAUGAAUGAGGAAGCACCACCGGCGCUCCCCAUGUCGGUGUCCUGUAUCUCCGACUACGACCUCCUCUGCGGCGAGGACACCUCCGGAAUCCUGUCCGGAGAGUCGCCGGAAUGCUCCUCCGACCUCAAUUCCUCUCCGCCUCCAUCAUUUCUGUCGGCAGAGGAUUCCGUUGCAAGUUUCAUCGAACACGAGCGCAACUUUGUCCCUGGAUUCGAGUACCUCUCGAGGUUCCAAUCUCACUCCCUCGACGCCAACGCCAGAGAAGAAUCCGUUGCAUGGAUUCUCAAGGUACACGCGUAUUACGGCUUUCAACCUUUGACGGCGUACCUCGCCGUCAAUUAUAUGGAUCGGUUUUUGGAUUCUCGCCGAUUGCCGCAAACAAAUGCGUGGUCUCUGCAACUUCUAUCCGUUGCAUGUUUGUCUUUGGCGGCAAAGAUGGAGGAACCUCUGGUUCCGUCUCUCUUGGACCUUCAGGUAGAAGGUGCCAAAUACAUAUUUGAGCCGAGAACUAUUCUUAGGAUGGAGCUACUUGUUUUGGGUGUCUUGGAUUGGAGGCUAAGAUCGGUUACCCCACUUAGCUUCCUUGCUUUCUUCGCCUGCAAGCUAGAUUCAACUGGAACAUUUACUGGGUUCCUCAUUUCAUGGGCUACAGAAAUCAUCUUAUCUAAUAUCCAAGAGGCUAGCUUUCUUGCUUAUAGACCAUCAUGCAUUGCUGCUGCUGCCAUACUCUCUGCAGCUAAUGAAAUUCCUAAUUGGUCUGUAGUUAAGCCUGAACAUGCUGAGUCAUGGUGCGAGGGACUAAGAAAAGAAAAAAUUAUAGGUUGCUACCAGUUGAUGCAAGAACUCGUGAUUAACAAUAACCGCAGGAAGCUUCCUAAAGUGUUGCCACAGCUUCGAGUAACAACUCGGACCCGAAUGAGGUCAAGUGUCUUAUCAUUCUCAUCGUCCUCCUCUUCAUCCUCCUUCUCAGUGUCUUGUAAGAGGAGGAAAUUAAAUAAUUGUUUAUGGGUAGAUGAUGACAAAGGAAACUCCAAGUGAAGAGAAAAGGAACGACGAUUAAUAAUAAAGAAAAGAAAGGAAAAGAGAGGAAAUAAAGUGGAUCAAGCUGUCUAGAAACCUCAACAUUUUAUGGAGGGUUUUUGCUUUUAAAAAUUGACUUGAGUGAGGGUGUAGAUUAUUAUAAUAUAUAUAUCGUAUGUACGAGAGUUUGAUGGGUUCGGAGAAUUUAUAAUUAUUAAUAUUUAUUUUAUGUCGGUGGCUCGUUAAUGGGUUUGCAGAUUCCCUAUGGGAGAGGGAUUCUGUAACAUGUUGAUGCAGGAAAAGGAGUGGGAGUGAGACAGGAAACACAGAAACAGUGUUAAAAUGAAUUUAAUGUGAUUUGUUCUAGUAAGUGUGGAAGAAGGAAAGAAGUUGGGGAGUGAAAUUCAAAGGUUGCAUUGAUUAUAGAUGAAAGACAUGAAAGAUGGUGGGGCAGUGCUCUAGAGAUUAAUUGGGAAGAAAAACAGAGAGCAGGUAUCAAAAAACAACGUGGGUGAUUGAAAGUUGAAACUUUGAAGUUUGAACUGUUCAUGUUAUGGGAUUUGUAAGUCAAGCUUCUUUUUUUGGCCAGCAUCACUGCUUUAACAUCUCCUUUGGUGGGAUAGAUACCUCAACAAUGAAAAAUAAUUGAAGGAUUAAGUUGAACUUGGCUACAUUUUGUGGACUUUUCCGGUGGGUACUGGCACGUGUGCAGACGGCUCUGGUGCGUGCCAAUUAGGUUUGCAAUUUGUUCUUAUUACUGAAGGAAAAGAAACUAUAAGACCCUCUCUGGAAUCUAGUGAGGCAAAACUCUGAAUCAGAUGAACUACUCGGUCCCGCUAGCUAUAAAGAUGGCCAAUCAGUGAUUAUGACUCCUCAAGUAGUUAGUGCCUGCUUGUGACCGUCCCCAGACUGUGCUAUUAUGGUAUUAUACAUUCUAUCAAGCAAUAGGCCCGUUUCCUCUUUCCUGAAAUAUCAGAUAAUGUUUGCAUUAACGUGGAUCUUCAUGCAUGAAUCAUUCACCAAGACCACUAAACAUAUUUUUUCCAUUUUAUUUUCACAUCAAAUAUUUCUUAACAAAUAAAUUAUUCAUAGUGAAGUUAAAGAUGAGGUAGAAACAACCUACAGAAGAAGCCUUUAUUAUAAUUACUUCAAAAAUCAUGUAAACAACUAGUACAAAUUAAAGUUAGAAGAGCAAAAGCAGGAAAAAGUAACAUAUCUUAAAAAUGUUACUUCAACUCAGGAUUUCUUCCCUACAAAUCGUAAAAAGCUCAGCUGAUAGAGCUUGUCAUUUAGCCACAUAACCCCGACAUAAGGUAUAUUAUUUUUUCAUACAAUAACAUUAACAUAUACCACCAAGGCUUGUUUCCCAGAGUGUUUCGCAGAAAAGUAACCAUGCAUAUUAUGCAAUCUUAAUUAUCACCCCUACGUUUGCAUGACAACCAUACAACUGCUUAUUGGCUCAACUUCCCAUACUCUCCAUCACAUCCAUACACUGCUGUCUAGACCCUUGUUCAUCAAAAUAUGUCUCUGGCUUUCUGCAUAGAUGGACCAUAGUGAAGAAACUUAUAGCGACUUAGUGACAAUCUUCGCUUAUUACGUACUUCUCUCAUUGCUCUUGGAUGUUUGCGUGUUCUGUAUAAUUGAUGGAGCCACGAAUCAAUGACGAAAGCUUGGGUACUUGAUUGAUCCAUUAGACGACAGAUU